rnacentral:rRNA from 1 species
GACGAACGCUGGCGGCGCGCUUAACACAUGCAAGUCGAACGGAAAGGCCUGCUUUCCCUUGUGGAUUGCGGGUACUCGAGUGGCGAACGGGUGAGUAACACGUGAGUGAUCUGCCCCCAACUUGGGUAUAAGCCUGGGAAACUGGGUCUAAUUCCCGAUAGGACUGCAGGGUGGUGCCUGUGGUGGAAAACGAUUUUCUAGUGGUUGGGGAUGAGCUCGCGGCCUAUCAGCUUGUUGGUGGGGUAAUGGCCUACCAAGGCGGCGACGGGUAGCCGGCCUGGGAGGGUGGACGGGCACAUUGGGACUGAGAUACGGCCCAGACUCCUACGGGAGGCAGCAGUGGGGAAUAUUGCACAAUGGGCGGAAGACUGAUGCAGCGACGCCGCGUGGGGGAUGACGGCCUUCGGGUUGUAAACUCCUUUCGACCGCGAGGAAGCCACCUGGUUGGAAGGGUGGUGACGGUAGUGGUAGAAGAAGCACCGGCUAACUACGUG